GGACGACGCUCUUCCCGGCGCUGUGCUCUGCUCCCACCAGCCACUCACCUUCCUCGGCCUGCGCCGCACCGGCACUUGAGGUAACCAUUCAUAGGCUGGUCAAAUCAUGUCAAGUUCAUUUGUCUGCAGACUUUUCAGGUUAUAUUGUUGCUCAACCAUUUAUAGAGUUAGUGUCUCUUGGAAGUAUCUCUUUCUUGCAUACGGUUGACACUACUAUCAUUAGCAAAUAACAUUAGGCAUUGCCAUGUGGCAUAGAAAAAUGAAACAACUGAGGUUAAUCUUCUUUCUGUUCCAGAUACAUCCAAUCAAAACCUUCAGGUUUUCAGCUUUCUUUUUUAUUUUUAGAUCAAAUGAUGGAGAGGUCUCUUGGGUUGCUCAUGCAAAUAUUUGUGAAGCUGUUCCUCACCAUGGAGGUUGACGUGAUCAUACUUUGCUUCAUCUUCAGAGAAGGCCAUGAGGAGUCCAGUAUGAGAAGUUGAUGCUCAUAUUUCCACUAUUUAGUUGUGCAGCUAUAUGAGUACUGGUACUAAUAAAAAAAAAGCUAAUUUUGUUUCUUCUAUGGGUGAUACAGUCAGGAGAUUGUAUGACAUUGCAAAUGUGUUGUCUUCACUGAAGCUCAUUCACAAGGUAGGCUACAAUAAAAUUACUGACAAGCCGGCUGCACUUGAGUGUUAAGCGAUGUUUCUGAAUCUGUUCUUGAAUCUUGUCAGUCCGAUAGGUACCGAGCGGCUCGAUAAUAUUAUGUCAUAUUAAGCGUUGAACAGCUAUAUGCAUCUUUUUUUUUCUUAUUGCUCGCUUCUAGAGGUUGCAAGUACUAACAUUAUAUGUGUUCCAUGAAAAAUAGUGUUCCAUGCAUAUGUGUGAUUUUGAAAUACUAGCUGUAGGAUGCAUCUAUUUUCGAUAACUUCACUGCAGGAGUCUCCUACUGCUUAAUGGAUUGAAGAAAAUAGGUAGUUACAACAUUUAGAUAGCUGCAAUCUUGGGCAUUUUAGUUUCGUAUUCUUAUCAGUUUAUUUUGUCAGCGUGUCUUCACAUCGGCAUCUGAUUCAGUUCCUGCGAACAGGGGAAGAAGAUGCUAGAAGCUUUGGCGCCGGGAACUCUUCCACGACUGCAUGUUAUAUUGACAGCAAUAGCUGCUUGAUGCGUCUGCUUGAGCGAUUUAGCAUGGCGUGGAGAAAACAAGAUGGAAAGGAUUAAUGAUUGUGUCCAUGAGUGUGCUUUGUUGCUGGUUGGGGAUAUUCUUUGGAGAGGAGACUCAUCAGCUCCUGUAUUGUUGAUAUGAUAGGUAUUUCCAUCUUUUGCUGAUACACAUCUAUGUUAUGGGUGCCUGGUUAGUUAUUUUUUCUCCCUUCAAUGUUGGUAUAAUGAGGACAUGCAAAAUAUGGGUUUAAUUUCUGAGAUGAAAAUUUGGUGUGGAUGGCCAUGUCUUUUUUUUUUUGCGGGUAGUGUGGAUGGUGUCUACCUCCCUUUCAGAACCCCCUCGCGGACAUCCAUGUCGCGAGAGUGUGUCAAUGUGCGUGUAGUGCUGCGAAUCGUGGAGGGACAGGUGCAUGGGGAUGACACGAGUCGGUGGGAAUGGGAAUUGGUAUGUGAAGCGACUAUCCUUGCUGCUUGGGG